rnacentral:lncRNA from 1 species
UAUCAAUUUUGAAUUAAUUCAGCCCUUUCUUGAUUAAAAAAAUAGGGCAGCAAUAGUUUUCCAAUACAGAACUAUUUCUUUGGGGAAAAUGACUUUGUGAAGAAGGAAAGAGGUAUUUAAAGUUUUUAGAUAAAAGAGGCAGGAUAAUGUUAGCAAAGGUGAACUUUUGCUUGAUUUUUAUUCCUUACUCUUUCUUUUACGUACUUCUAAUUUUUUUCCUUCAUUGCAAUAUAAAAAUAGAUCUGAACAGUGACAGUAAAAAAUUAUAGUUUCCAAAGAAAGAUAUGUGGAGGAAUAUUCUUGGGUAACAGAGUCCAAGCACUUAUGUGUUCUUUUUUAACACUUUAAUUCUACAAAAAAAAAAGAAAAAGUGAAAUUUGAAAUGGCACUUCCUAGUGCAAAGAGAGAAAGAGAAAUAGAGAGCAAAAACUGUUAGCACAGAUGGUUAUAAACAAGGUUGAGGAUGCAAUUAACAGGCUAAAAUUGUAUGGAAUAUAGUAUGUCAGCAAUACAGAAGCUCUGGCAAGAGCAGUCAGGACUGAAUUGGCUUCACUAAUAAACUGUCCUUUUGCUUCCUUUCUGUCUACCUCUUAUAUCACUUUCCAUCUACCUCUUAUGUCACUUUCCAUUGCAAAAUAUAGACCUUUUUUAGUUAUUUGCACAUGAAUUCUGCUAAUCAGGAAAGGUGAUCCUUUCUGCAGCAUGUCAUUUCCUUUAAAGUAGCAGUUUGUCUUUAAGGAAUAGUUAAUCUUAGUUUGAAGCAUUCAGGUAAAAUUUCAGAGAAAAAUGUCACAUAAAGUAGAAACCAUUAAAGCAGAGGUCAUCCUGUUAGGAAAAAAAAUAAUCCACCAGAUAUUGAUUGCCUUCAAUGAGGAAAAUGCAAAUCUCAGUUUAACCUCUACAUUAAAAAAUUGUUGAUUGGCUAGAAAUUAACAUUGCAUGUGCUAGACAACAAGACUCUUGCCUUGUGACCUACUUUUGCUACUAAGAAUAUUCACAUUCUUUCAUUUUAGUGCUCAAAUAUCUAAAGUAUGCCAUGCAUUACAUACUGAAAAUCUUAACAAAAAUGGACUUAUAUUUGAAUGAUAAGAAAUAUGUUUUAUGUCCCAUAAAGAAGAGUUUCUCUAGAAUAUAGGAGGUUUGCUAAAUCUAGACAAGCAUAGAUUUAUUUUUAAUUUUAUUAGAAUUAAAGAGAUCCUUCAAAUUAUCCUGGUUAUUAUGUUUGUGACUGGUUAUCUAUGACACAAUAGGAAAGCAGUACUUUAAUUAUAAGUUCCCUCUGAAAUGCAUUUUUUCUUAUCUGUUUUCAUGUUAUAAAGUCUAGACAAAAUCAUUUCUGUGGAUCAUUUUACCAAAUAUUGUAAAACUACUAGUUUCAAGAGUUUUUACUUUUAUUUUUAUGGGGAAACAUAAAGUGUUCCAUGAUCAAGUAAGUUUGAGAAAUGUUGCGUACUAUAGUCUCCUCUAAUUUUUUUCCCAUUAGCAUAUGAAAGUUUCUAGUAAGUUCUAUAGAAAGAAUGUCUGCCAAAAAUAUUAUGAAAGCAGGAGUAAGACUGUAGAAGCAAACAGAAUCCAAAUUAUGAAGGAUCUUUUGGGAGUUUUUUGUCCUUUUGUCUUUUUAGGGCCACACCCAUGGCAUAUGGAGGUUCCCAGGCUAGGGGUCUAAUCGGAGCUGUUGCUGCCAAGCCUACACCAGAGCCACAGCAAUGCCAGAUCUGAACCACAUCUGUGACCUACACCACAGCUCAUGGUAAUGCCAGAUCCUUAACUCGCUGAGCGAGGCCGGGGAUUGAACCUGCAACUUCAUGGUUCCUAGUCGGAUUUGUUUCUGCUGCACCAGGAUGGGAAUUCCUGAAGGCUGUUUUUAUGCCUCUGAAAAGUCUGGGACUUUUUAGAAUGAGCAUAUUAGUAGCAACAUGAAGGAUGGAUUAGAGACCUAUUUAGGGAACUUUUUCAGUAAUCAAAAGAAAAAAACUAAGCAAAAGUAGUUACACUCAUACUGAAAAGAUGUAUAAAAAUUACAAGUAUGUGAGAAAGGAAUGAUAGGACCAGAAGACUGGCUGAAUGUUAAGGAUUAAAAUUCAAGAGUGAGUCAAGUGUAUGGUGUUGGUACUUAGUGGAUAUUAGAGCCACUUACUGAGAUCAGGCACAUUAAAAGGAAGCAUGAAACAGACAGAAUAAAAUAGAAAAUCUGUUUCAUAUAUGCUGAGUUUGAGUUUUCCACAGAAAAAUAAAAAAAAAAAAUAUUCCCAGUGUAUAGUUGGAUAUAGAACCAUGGAAUUCCAGAAAAGAUUACACUACAGAUGUGUACCUACAGGUAGGUGGUAAAAUCAUUGGAAUGGAUGAAGACACUCAGAGACAACAGUCAGAAUGUAAAAUACAGAGAGCACAACAGCAACAAAUUUGUAUUAGAUAACUUAGUAGACACUUCCGGUUGAAAGACAUAGGGUCAUAAACCUAAGUGUAGGGAGAGUAUCAAGGAGAAGGGAGUAAUUAUCAAUAAGACGGAAAGGUUAAGUAUAAUAUGCAUGAAACAAUGUGUGUUGACUUUAAUAAUGAAUCACUUGUUAAUGAUCGUGUCCAGCACAAUUUCGGUGAAACAGCAAGGUAAAAACCAGAUAAAAGAUUAGGUGGGAAAUGUAGAAGUGGAGAUAGCAAAUGUCAGCAAUUAUUCACCUAGGAAGGCCAGUGACAAGAUGGUAAGUAACAGAGACAAAGGUAGAGAAUAAUAUUUUGUUCCUCCUUUAUUUUAUAUUUAAGGUGGUGGGGAUCUUUGAUUAACUCAAAUUCAAGAAGAAGCAGAAAGGGAUAAGAUCUAGCAUGAUUUAUCUUUCAUGAUGACCGAAGGGAAAAUGGUAAUGAUAAAUAUGGAUAGCAUGUUAAGUUUAAUAUAAUUAUUAAUAAUAUUUCAUAACAUUGAGGGAUUUUCCGUCUGUUGGAUUUUAUAUUCUCUUUGAAUUGGAAGGCAGUUUCUGCUGCUAGGAAUGAAAAGAAUUUUAAGUCAUGGAGGCUGUAGGAAAGUCCUGAGGGUUAUCUAGUAGCCAUUCUGAGGAAUGGAUAAGUGACUAGGGAAUUUUAGGCUAUUGAGGACCCAUUUAAGUUAGGAACAAUGGAUUUAUAUUGACACCACACUAUUUGAUUGUAUAAUUUUCUCUGUAAGUGAUCAGUGGGCUGGAUGCAGGAAAUGAGAAAAUAGUUGGAUUGACCCAAGAUUAAGGUUGCAAGGAGUUGACAGGUUUGGUGAGAUAAUGUCUAAGUAAGGGAAUGGAAUAAAGAUAGAAAAAGGAUGGCAAAGAAAUUAGGAGGUUUAUAGUUCAAGCAAAUUCAUUGGCAAGUACAGUGGAAGCUAGAAUGUGAGAAAGGUUGGAAUCUAAGAAGUUAUAAGCUAUUUGAAAGUUAAGAUUUCAGAAGUCAAUCCAUAGGUCAUCAUGACUGGCUAUAAGGAGGUCAAAGGAGCUUGCAGAUGGAGGUCAUUACAGGUGGUAUGGUUAAACAACCAGUUGACCAUCAUGUUGGAUGUGUUAUCUGUAUGUAUACUGUGGUUGCCCUCAAUUAGAGUAGGAUUCAUUAAAAAAGAAAAAAAAAAAACCUGAUGCUUAUCUAUUUUGUGUAUUGUAGUUUGAAUUUGUUAAUCCCAUACUCUUAAUUCAUUCCCUCCCCCGUCUCCUUUUCCCUUUGGUCACUGUAAGUUUGUUUUCCAUGUCUGUGAGUCAGCUUCCAUUUUAUAAAUAGAUUCAUUUGUAUUAUUUUUUAUCUUCCACAUAUAAGUGAUAUAAUAUGAUAUUUAUCCUUGUCUGACUUACAUCACUUAAUAUAAUAUUAUUUAGGGCCAUUCAUGUUACUGCAAAUGGUACUAUUUCUUUUUUAUGGUUGAGUAAUAUUCCAUUACAUGUGCACAUUCGGACAUAUUAUAUCUUCUUAAACCAAUAUAUUGAUGGACAUUUGGGUUAUUUCCAUGUCUUGGCUAUUAUAAAUAGUGCUAUAUAGCACAGGGAACUAUAUUCAAUAUCGUAUAAUAACCUAUAGUGAAAAAUAAUCUGAAUUACUUUGCUGUACACCCAAAACUAGCAAAACAUUGUAAAUCAACUAUACUUCAAUUACAAAUUAAUUAACUAAAGCUGAGAGUCACAUACCAAAGAAUUCAGGACUUGUUGGAAAAAAAAAAUAGGAAGCAAGAAAGCAGGUGGUAAAAGAUUUAAAAAUAGAAAGUGACCUACCUGGAUAGCCAGAGCAUCAUGUACAUAAAGUUUUCCCCAGAGGUAGAGGAGGAAAGGUAGAAGGGCGCUGAGGAGAAAAGGUUCCAAGGCUGGUGGGGUAGAGGAGAUUGAGGAACCUCAUGUGAGAAACAGGAAAUUAAGGCAAGGGUUCCAGAGGGCAAAGAGAAGAAGCAGGGGGUUGGGUCAAAAGAGAAGAAGGCAGAGUAGCAGGACCAUAUAAGGAGGAAAAGAGGAGAGAGUACAUUAUCACAGGGGCUUGCAUUUUAUGUGGCCCUCCAGGAUGGCAGGGAUAGAAAGCAUGGUGAAUUAACCAGCUCCACGUUUUCAGAGGAAGUUCUAGACUUGUUACAAGGUGAGAACACAGGAAAUUUGGGGAAUGUGACAGUGGUAGACCAGUCCUUGCUGGGACCCAAUUCAGGGUUUACUGUUAUGUCUCCAGAUUCUCAUGUCUUCUCUAAUUGAGCUCGGCUACUUUUCAAUAUUGCAAUUCAUAACCUUCCUCUCCCUGUCUGCUAGACUCCCCUCUCCCAGUUCGAAUCUUAUCCCUCUUCCUCUUUACGUCCUAGAUCUUCUGAAGGGAAAUGCAUGUAUGUCUAUGAAGGAUAUUUUAAUGGCAGUGUCGGGGGUAAGGCCAACAUCUUAUCCACAUGGGUUAUUCUGCUUAUAAACUUGCCCAUGAAGUUCUUUUAAGAACUAGAGAUUUCAGAGAUAGAACCAGGUAUAGGAAGAUAGCAAAGAAAAUCAGUUCCAUUAGAAUUCAUAGUCCUAAGGCAAGAAGCAAGCUUCUAGUUCCUAAGUUCAUCCAUACCACUUCUUCCUGUAGUAACAAGUGAUACCAAAGGCAAGAUUAAUCUGUGCUUGUAGAAUUAAUCAUAUUAUCUUCUUUUGGAUCAUAAAGAAGAGGGAAAAAACAUAAUUAAUUUGUAAAUACAGUUAACAACCAGAAAAGGGCUGAGCUAUGUCAGUGUCCAAUCUAAAGUUGGAAUCUGAGAGAAAAAGCUGCCUGCACUCUGCCAGCAGUGAACAAAAGACAAAAUUCCAGAAGGUCUGCAUGGGUGGAAAAUGAUCAGAAUCAAAACAGACUUGGAUUAGGAGCUAUUUAGAGGUGCAUCAUUAAUGAGCAUGAACCUUAUCCAACAUCAGAAGCUGUUCAUCUUUUUAUUUACUCUUUUGUGUUUGUCCCCCUGCCCCACUUUAGUAGUGCAUUUUCUCUGUAUCUGGGUCUUUUAUGUGAUAAAUACUGCAAGUUAUUCAGAAAAUUUUAUAGAAAGGACUACUUCUGGAAGGAUCAUGAUUAUUUUGAAUUAUUUUGUUUAUCCUCAAAAAUCUCAUUAAAAUAUACAUACAAUGGGGACCUGCUGUAUAGCACAGAGAACUCUGCCCAGUGUUCUGUGAUAAUCUAUGUGGCAAAAGAAUCUGAAAGAGGAAAAAAAAUAUAUAUAUAUACAUACACAUAUUAUGCAUAGGGAAUAGUAUUUACUUAUUGCUAUAUACCAUUGUACAUGGUGCUAAUGUGGGUUUGUUAUAUUAUUUUCUUCUUAAUGUUAUUGUUAUUCAAGAAAGAGCAUAACUAUAGGGGAGAAUAUAUAGGAUCACUGAAUUUUUUAUCAUAAUAAAAUUAUAACAACACAUGAUUAAAAAUAAUUUCAAUUAGAUUUUAUCACAUGACUUUCAUAAAAGUCCUAUGAUUUUUGACAAAGCAGUUGUUUUGUCUGCAUUUCAGAGAGAGGGAAAUUGAAUUUUAGUCAAGUUUAGAGUUUUUCCCUGAGUGACAUAAGAAGUCAGUGCCGGGAGUUCCGGUGUGGCACAGUGGUUAAUGAAUCCAACUAGGAACCAUGAGGUUUUGGGUUCAAUCCCUGGCCUUGCUCAGUGGGUUAAGGAUCCGGCGUUGCCAUGAGCUGUGGUAUAGAUUGCAGAUGUGGCUCUGGCAUAGGCCGUCGGCUACAGCUACGAUUAGACCCCCAGCCUGAGAACCUCCAUAUGCUGUGGGAAGCGGCC